GAUGAAGAACGUAGCGAAAUGCGAUACUUGGUGUGAAUUGCAGAAUCCCGUGAACCAUCGAGUCUUUGAACGCAAGUUGCGCCUCAAGCCAUUAGGUUGAGGGCACGUCUGCCUGGGCGUCACAUAUCGUUGCCUGAUGCCAGUUUCCUCGUGAUGGGUGACUGUGAAGGGCGAAUGAUGGCUUCCCGUGAGCAUUGUUGCCUCAUGGUUGGUUGAAAAUUGAGUCCUUGGUAGGGAGCGCCGUGAUAGAUGGUGGUUGAGUGACGAACGAGACCCAAUCAUGUGAGACCCCUACCGAAUUUGGCCUUCAUGACCCACAUGCGUCUUUGGAACGCUCAUGACGAGACCUCAGGUCAGGCGGGGCUACCCGCUGAGUUUAAGCAUAUCAAUAAGCGGAGGA
rnacentral:misc_RNA from 1 species